rnacentral:rRNA from 1 species
GGCUUAGAAGCAGCCAUCUUUUAAAGAUAGCGUAACAGCUCACUGGUCUAGUGAUUCUGCGCGGAAAAUAUAACGGGGCUAAAGUAUGCACCGAAGCUAUAGAUUUACUGUUUACAGUAAGUGGUAGGAGAGCGUUCUAUUCAGCAUUGAAGCGAUACCGGUGAGGAGUCGUGGAGCGGAUAGAAGUGAGCAUGCAGGCAUGAGUAGCGAUAAUUAAAGUGAGAAUCUUUAACGCCGAAAACCCAAGGUUUCCUACGCGAUGCUCGUCAUCGUAGGGUUAGUCGGGUCCUAAGUCGAGUCCGAAAGGGGUAGACGAUGGCAAAUAGGUUAAUAUUCCUAUACUUAUAAUAGAGCGUGAUGUGGGGACGCAUAGAGUUAAUCGAGCUCACUGAUGGAAUAGUGGGUCGAAGGAUGUAGGUUGUAAAGUAGGCAAAUCCGCUUUACAUUAGACCGAGAUCUUACAGGCCGAACAAUAUCUUCGGAUAGCGUUUGGAAUCGAUGAUACUGUCGUGCCAAGAAAAGCCACUAAGUAUAUGUAUAAUUGCCCGUACCGCAAACCGACACAGGUAGGUGGGAUGAGUAUUCUAAGGCGCGUGGAAGAACCCUGGUUAAGGAACUCUGCAAACUAGCACCGUAUCUUCGGUAGAAGGUGUGCCUACUAACGUAUUAGAGAUUUACUCUCGAAAGCGAAAGAGGUUGCAACAAAGAGUCCCUCCCGACUGUUUACCAAAAACACAGCACUUUGCUAACACGUAAGUGGAUGUAUAAGGUGUGACGCCUGCCCGGUGCUGGAAGGUUAAUUGAUGAUGUCAGCGCAAGCGAAGCAUUUGAUCGAAGCCCCAGUAAACGGCGGCCGUAACUAUAACGGUCCUAAGGUAGCGAAAUUCCUUGUCGGGUAAGUUCCGACCUGCACGAAUGGCGUAACGAUGGCCACACUGUCUCUACCCGAGACUCAGUGAAAUUGAAAUUGCGGUGAAGAUGCCGUAUACCCGCGGCUAGACGGAAAGACCCCGUGCACCUUUACUAUAGCUUUACACUGGACUUUGAAUCUAUCUGUGUAGGAUAGGUGGGAGACUUUGAAACCCUGACGCUAGUUGGGGUGGAGUCAACCUUGAAAUACCACCCUGGUAUAUUUGAAGUUCUAACCUAGACCCCUUAUCGGGGUUGGGGACAGUGUAUGGUGGGUAGUUUGACUGGGGCGGUCUCCUCCCAAAGAGUAACGGAGGAGCACGAAGGUACCCUAAUCCUGGUCGGAAAUCAGGAGUUUAGUGCAAUGGCAUAAGGGUGCUUGACUGCGAGAUAGACACAUCGAGCAGGUACGAAAGUAGGUCAUAGUGAUCCGGUGGUUCUGAAUGGAAGGGCCAUCGC